UACAGAGGAUGCAAGCGUUAUUCGGAAUGAUUGGGCGUAAAGCGUCUGUAGGUGGCUUUUUAAGUCCGCCGUGAAAUCCCAGGGCUCAACUCUGGACAGGCGGUGGAAACUACCAAGCUGGAGUACGGUAGGGGCAGAGGGAAUUUCCGGUGGAGCGGUGAAAUGCGUAGAGAUCGGAAAGAACACCAACGGCGAAAGCGCUCUGCUGGGCCGACACUGACACUGAGAGACGAAAGCUAGGGGAGCGAAUGGG
rnacentral:rRNA from 1 species